ensembl:lncRNA
UCGCAAUUCUCAGCUCCGUUCAGGCGUUUACUUUAAUGGCUUCCUUCACAGAUUCCUCUUUGUGUACACAGCUGCUGAGAAAUAUGCUCCUAUUCUAAUUUCUUCCAUUAAAUGUAUUGUCCAUAAACAAGACAUUGCCUCCUUGGGGAUUUUCCAGGAAAGUAAUAAUCAAGAGAAAUUCCAAAGAGGAAUUACAGUCCACCAUUAUGACUUACAGACAGGUUUGUGUUGACUUUUUGCAUGUAACGUGCGUCUUUUGAAUGGAUGAUGUGGCAUAUUCAUAAACAUAUCCUAGCAGUGGGACAGACUGAGGUGGUGUGAUUCAUUUCAAGGCUGAUAUGAGCUUGUGGAAGAUGCAUCAGUGAGACAGAAAUGAGAAGAAAGGAGGCAAAUUAGGUAUGUCAUAGUCUACUAUAACGCUGUAACGUUUAUCAUUAAUUAAUCACGGCUGCCAGGGCAUCAGAGGGGAAAAUAAUGUUACGCACUCAGGAGACACAUGUUUUCCAUUUCAGCACUCUAUCCAUCCUGAGGAAAUAAAAGAGAAGGAGGCCUGGGAGAGUCAUCUCAGCAGCAAGACAGCUGGAGGAAUAGACCCAUCCAUACUUGACGAUGAGGUGGAGCGUACUUCCGUGUUGGAUCGUCACAUUGAUUCCAUUAAUCAGCUCCAGUAUCUACCUAAAAUAGGAAUGCAAACGACAACCACUCAUUCCAUAUGAGCAGCUGCUGGCAACAACAUCUACUUGAAGUGGCAGUGGGCAGCUGGCCGGUCCCCAAGAGAAGGGGAGGACAGAGUGGCCCUCUCUGCUCGGUCACCUGAGCUCAUAAUGCUGAAAGCGCUCGCCGGCCCAAACAGACACUUCGGCUGAUGUGAGGAAAUGGCAGUGUGAUUAAUGUGGCCUAAAUUGAGCCCCCGUCCCAGUUAAACCUGUCGUUGGCCAUCAGCCUCAAACCACCACACUGUACCCAUGAAUCACACGCACCUGCCCACAUCAAGCAGCACAUACAUGACGUGGACCCAUGUGACAGCCUACAGCUUUACGUUUAUAAUGAAUGCGUCAGACAUGGGAGAGCACGAUAAAUAAAAAGCACAUUUCACAAGAUGAUUAAAGGAGG